UACGUAGGGUGCGAGCGUUGUCCGGAUUUAUUGGGCGUAAAGAGCUCGUAGGCGGCUUGUCGCGUCGGCUGUGAAAAUCCCCGUGGCUCAACUGCGGGUCUGCAGCCGAUACGGGGCAGGCUAGAGUUCGGCAGGGGGAGACUGGAAUUCCUGGUGUAGCGGGUGAAAAAUGCGCAGAUAUCAGGAAGAACACCAACGGCGAAAGGGCAGCUCGCUGGGGGACGGUACUGACGCUGAGACGCGAAAAAGCGUGGGGGG
rnacentral:rRNA from 1 species